CGGCGCAUCCUCCACCCAUGCCGACGUCUUCGCAUCCCCCAUCCACGCCGCCGAACCUGGAGGUCCGGACCAACAAAGGCAAAGUGAGCCGGGACGACGGCAAACCACCCCCUCCCAUCGAUGCGGAUCAGGUCAGGAAAGAGAUGCGGUGGCCAGACCUUCACAUCCUUUCUUUCCUCCCUCAUGGAGGAUGAACUAAAGCGGCGACAUCCCUGGUGGGAGCGAACAAGGGUGUGAACCCAACUCAAUACUGCAGCUGGCGAGUGACGCGAGAGACCUCACUCCCUUCGCCAGAUCAUCGCCGAAAUCGACGCACAGAUGACCGGCACCAGGGAGGAGUUCGACAGCGAGGAGAGGAUCUGCGUUGCCGUGGUCAACGAACGAGCCCAACGAGGUGGGAGACCAUGCUACUCAUCAUCGCUGAGAAAGGGUUCAUCAAUAUCGUCGUCGAGUUGCUCAAGCUCUGACAAGGAGAGCCUUGCGAGGAAGAACAAAUCAGGAUUCGAUGCUCUGCAUGUCACUUCAAAGGAAGGCCACGGAGUGUGCCAUUGCCUACACAAGCUAAUGAGCAAGAAAGAUGGACAUCUGACACUGCUUGUAGAUAUUGUGAAGGUACUCCUGGACCAUGAUCGAUCCCUUGGGAAAACGUUUGGCCAAUCAAAAUGUGACUCCUCUGAUAACUGUGGCGAUUAGAGGCCGCCAUGAUGUAGCGAACCUUCUGCUGGAGCGAGAUUCUGGAUUGCUUAAACUAUCAAAGGCAAACAGAACAACAAUUUUUAUUUUCCUGGUACAGGGAAUCUCCAGGCACGACAAAGUAUGUAUUUACAUCAGAAAAAUUCCUUAGCUUUUGCAGAAACAUGAUUUUGGUUUAUUUAUUAGCACUACCCCAAUUACAUUGGAUUUGUAUUCACACUUCUCAAAGUAAGGUAGCAUGGUCCAUCUUUGUAGGGUCGUAUUUGGUAACCGUAACUUACCACAAUACCAAUUCUAAGUUUAUUGUUUAAUUCAACAUUUUAUUAGCAAUUAGUUUUGCUUAUUUCACCUCACUGCAUUAAACUCCACCAGUUUGAAUUUCUUAAUUCUACAGACACUACUUAUGCCAUUGUGUGUUCCUCCACUUCUGGCCUCCUCCAUUACCAGUGACUAACACUACGAUACAUAUGCAAAUAAUGUAAGUUCGCAAGCUGCAAUCCAAAUUAUAGUCAUGGUGAGAACUGAGAACUGCAUUCCUUCUAAUUUGGGGAAAAGGUAGUUCGUCAAUUUGCUUAAAAUUUGCAAGAACUGAGUAGUUGUCACCCGCUUGCAUAAAAUAGACAGUCUAAUUUACGAUAUGCUUCUAUUUUUUGUCAUGCAUUUUAAUUUGGUAGGAAAAUUCGCAUGUAGUUCUAAAUUAACUCAUUCUGGGAGCUAGCCAAUGGAUAUUUCCUUUGGCGAUUGUCAGUUUUAAUUUGAGUAAUAUAUAUAUAGAGAGAGUGGGAGCUAAGAUGCCUAAAAGUUUAUUAUCGUUUGGUCCCCCAUUUCAUUCAGACUUGAUCUGCGACAAACAAUAGUAUAAUGGUUUUUUCUUCCUCUAUAUGCCCUAUAUAGCAUUUUGCUAUUUUGUGCUACUAUUUAACUUUGUGCUUUGCAUGUCAGUAGUUUUGCUACACUAUAGUAGCAACAAUCCUUGUGUGACAAUAUUGUACCGAUUAUAUCAUAGCAAAGGGACAAUAUGUGGGGCUUUCAAACUGCAGUUUGUGAGACAAUCUGUUUGUCCUAUGGAGGUGCUCAAUGGUAUGUUUUUGGUCCCUGCAGCUACCAUUAGGUAUUACUAUUCUUCAAUAACUGUGUACCACAUUUUCUUCCAAGCGACUUUAUCCUUUUUCUUAUAACUGUGUACCAAAGAUCUCACUUUUUCAUAGGUAAGGACAAAGCCCAGAUUUCUUAGGGGAACUUAACAUCAGAAUAGCCUGGCUUUUAGGAGAAAAGACGACAGAGUUAUUUUAUUGUUGCAGUGUGCCUGCUCGGAAACAAGAAGUGAGUGCUUUGUUUUUUUUAAAUAAUAUAACUAGAAUGAAUGAAAUAUGUGAGGGUUGAGCUCCUGAGUUGUGUAAUUGGUCUAAACCUUUUUGGUUCCUUUUGUUGUUCUUGUGAAAAGUGUGAUAACGGAGGCAAAGUUCUGAGAACACCCAGAUCAUUUAUGCUUAUGUAUCAAGGACUUUGCUCAUAGCCAUCCCAAGUUGAUCAUUUCUACAUACAUACAAUAUUAUCAAGAAGCAUUCUUGUGGCUAGAAGCUCAACAAAAUUGAAAUUCUCAAGUCAAUCUUGCAUGAUCAUGUAGGUGGUAUCUCAGGCUUUGUUCAUAUAUAUCCUCAUGAACAUGCUCUUAAGUUGAAUGUUGGUCCUAAAUAAGAAGCUUAGGAGAAUAGCAAUGUGCUA